AUGGAAACCCAUGAGCCUUCUCGUCAUCAUCUCGUCAACUGGGUUCAUGGAGGGCAGCAGCACGUCGUCUCCUGGAGCGAUAUCAUUAGUGGGAUAGGCCGUAGCCUUUUCAUCAAAUGCCUCCUACGGCUGUCCAGGUCAGACUAUGGUUCCGUGGCAUGCUUGAACCGCGACUUCAAUUCGCUGGUCCGCAGUGGGGAGAUCUACCGCUUGCGUCGCAACAACGGCAUAGCAGAGUGGGCGCUGGAUCCAAGUGCCCAAGAUACCACCUGA
rnacentral:rRNA from 1 species